rnacentral:rRNA from 1 species
CGUCUAUAUACGUAUAGCAUAUCAAUAAGCGGAGGAAAAGAAACUAACAAGGAUUCCCCUAGUAACGGCGAGUGGAGCGGGAAGAGCUCAAAUUUGAAAUCUUCAAGGGUUUCCCUUGACGAAUUGUAGUUUAAAGAAGUGUUUUCUGUUAGAGAGGUGGUAAAAGUUCUUUGGAAUAGGACAUCAUAGAAGGUGAGAAUCCCGUAUUUGAUCACUUUCUACUAACGUUGUGAUACACUUUCAAAGAGUCGGAUUGUUUGGGAAUGCAGUCCAAAAUGGGUGGUAAAUUUCAUCUAAAGCUAAAUAUUGGCGAGAGGCCGAUAGCGAACAAGUACCGUGAGGGAAAGAUGAAAAGAACUUUGAAAAGAGAGUUAAACAGUACGUGAAAUUGUCAAAAGGGAAGCGUUUGACACCAGUGUUGUUUUUCCGAAAAUCAAUUAAGAAUGGCCGGAUUUUAAGUUUCAUGACCUUAAAAGCUUGUUUCUUAUUUUUCUUGUCUUUCUUAAUGCACUUUUCGGUUAACAAGUCAACAUCAAUUUCUUUUGUUGUAAAAGGUUAAGAGGAAGGUGGCUUUCCUUUCGGGCUCAAGUGUUUAUAGCCUUUUAAUCUCUGCAAUCGGAGAGAUUGAGGUCUGCAGCGUAGAUCCUUCGGGGUUAGAUACAGUUGUGCUAAGCUAUAGCCUUUUAUAGACAACUUGUUGACUAUGCUCUAGUCAUGUAGCUUACUCGCUGAUGCUAUUUUACCUACGCUUAGGAUGUUGAUAGUCACAGCGUGUAC